rnacentral:rRNA from 1 species
UAGGGAAUCUUCCACAAUGGACGAAAGUCUGAUGGAGCAAUGCCGCGUGAGUGAAGAAGGUUUUCGGAUCGUAAAGCUCUGUUGUAAGGGAAGAACAAGUACGGGAGUAACUGCCCGUGCCAUGACGGUACCUUAUUAGAAAGCCACGGCUAACUACGUGCCAGCAGCCGCGGUAAUACGUAGGUGGCAAGCGUUGUCCGGAAUUAUUGGGCGUAAAGCGCGCGCAGGCGGUUCUUUAAGUCUGAUGUGAAAGCCCACGGCUCAACCGUGGAGGGUCAUUGGAAACUGGAGAACUUGAGUACAGAAGAGGAAAGCGGAAUUCCACGUGUAGCGGUGAAAUGCGUAGAGAUGUGGAGGAACACCAGUGGCGAAGGCGGCUUUCUGGUCUGUAACUGACGCUGAGGCGCGAAAGCGUGGGGAGCAAACAGGAUUAGAUACCC